UAUCUUUUCUAUAAAACAGACCUCUGUUCUGUAUCCAGUUCACUUGCUGUAGUUGUUUACCCAGGAAAUCUCUGGACUGAGAGUGUCUGUAAUGCACUGGGUUAGGCAGACAGGCAUGAGAAUUGUAACUAUGCAGUCUGGAUGAGGAGAGGAAGUACUGACUGGUUUCUUCCCCAUGCUCCUGAGGAAAAACCCCUUCAUAAAGAGUUGUAUGAAACAUGCGUUACCUAUUGACAUGUCUCGCAAAUACUGAGUCUGUUACAGUGUCCCUCGAAGAUUGCUACAGGGUUCUGUCACACCAAACCUCACCACUUCCACAUGAUUAAUUACUGCCAAGUCCAGUCUCAAGCAAGAACCAGUAAUGCAUGGAUAUAUUUGUGUAUGGUGUGGCAAAGCAUACAGGCAGAUGUAUAUACUUGUACGGAACAAAAGCUUCAAUAUAUGGGAAGUCUGGGGAAUGGCCCUCAUUAACAGGUGCUGCCUGCAGGAAGGAAGGGAUGCCUGCACCUGGCCUCAACAGACGUACCGGCUGUUUGAGGAGGUGAAAGCAGUGAAGAUUUUGGGGGAAAAAUGUUACGUCUUCAUGUGACUGCAGGAGGGAGAAAAGGAUACACAGAGGACCUGAAAUUCUCCAGCGAUGUUGCACAGUAUCUAAGGAUAUACUCCAAACCCAGUGCACCGCUGCAAAAACUCUGAUUUAUCUCAGCAUUCCCAAAAGUGUUUUUUUCUAUGGGUAAGAUUGCAUAGCUAUGUCUGCUGCUUGAUUCCAUUUUCUUUAGAAAAAUGUUCGAUGCUGUGCCCCAUACUUUCAGGCUCUCUGUAGCUGACUAAAACGGUGGAUAUCUUCCUAAAAUAGAUAGCCUGCUUCAACCACAAAUUGAUAGGGCUUUGACUAGAUAGAAUUAUAUGUGGUGCAGAAGGUCAGAUGGAUGAUCGUAAUUGUCCUGCUUGGCUUUAGAUCAUUGGAUUUACCUGAGUACUAAGUCUCUCCAUUCAGCAUGAUUCAAGAGAGUAAAAUCCAGAGCUCUAUAAAAUAGGAAUUGUACAUUCAACCAAAUGGAGAAUGGAUGAGUAUAGACAUAUGGCAGAUCCAUUUUUUCAGGCUGUUGAUAAUCUCAAAGAACAUGUAGUAACAGAACAAAUCAGCAUGUUGGUGGAGGUUCCCCCGCCACCCACAGCGAAUGAUAUUUUGGGGCAUAUGAAUAGGAGUCAAUUACAAUAACACAUCCCUUUCAAUCUGAGUAAUUUCUACUGAAAUCUGAGAUGACUACUGUCAAAAGGAGAUGUACAAAGGCAUAGCAUUCUUUCUGCUGUAUACUGCAACUACAUGCAAGAGAAGGCAAAUCACUUAAGGACUCUCUUGGAAGAAUUAACUUAGUGGAAAUAUGAAUGUCAGUUUCCUGACAUAGUUUAAAUGUUAAAUGACAGAUAACCUAGGAUCACCCAAACUAGAUGGCAAAGCUUUAUUGUAUGAUACUGUCUGACAAUGAAGUCCUGCAUCUUGACAAUUGAAUUAAAACAUUUCUUCACA